AAAGAAUUAGUUAAACAUAUAACAUUAGAAUGUCAAACUAAAAUCAUUAAUUAAUUAAUAUUCUUUA
rnacentral:tRNA from 1 species